UACGAAGGGGGCUAGCGUUGCUCGGAAUCACUGGGCGUAAAGGGCGCGUAGGCGGCCAUUCAAGUCAGAGGUGAAAGCCCAAGGCUCAACCUUGGAACUGCCUUUGAUACUGUUUGGCUUGAGACCGGUAGAGGUAAGUGGAACUGCGAGUGUAGAGGUGAAAUUCGUAGAUAUUCGCAAGAACACCAGUGGCGAAGGCGGCUUACUGGACCGGUACUGACGCUGAGGUGCGAAAGCGUGGGGAGCAAACAGGG
rnacentral:rRNA from 1 species